UUUUACAGUGGCCCAGGCCGCAGACAGCAGCGUGUCCGAUUUAUGUUCCUGAGAGGGUCGCCGGCUUUGCAGUUCUAGAGAGGCCCGGACCGCAGGCAGCAGCAUGUCCAAUUUAUGUUCCUGAGAGGGUCACCGGCUUUGCAGUUCUAGAGCACAAACAGGAAGAGAAACAGGAAUUCACAUCUUCCUCACUACAACAACACAAAAAGUCCUCAACGUGAUUGGACUAAGUCAUCUGACAGAUGUUGCGAUAGCCAGGGAAAUAAAAUUCUGCCUUUCUACAAUAUUCCAAGUGAAACAAAAGGUGUUAGAAGUAGAAAUGAAAGGCACAGUGCAAGUAUACUCUACUGGGUAUAUUUACUCUAAGGACAUUCUAAUAUAUAGACUUCCAAGAAGAGGAGGGCUGAAUAGAUUUCCCAGUAGCUACGUAGAACAACUGAUCACAUCUUUUUUAUGACACCUGGUCACUCCUCUGCAUCCAGUCUUAGUUGUAGGGGAAACAAACCCCAUUCCUUCAGCCUUUCCCCACUAGGUCAUUUUUUAAACCUCCUAUUGUUGUUGUUCUCCUGUAGACUCUCUCCUGUUUGACUACAUCCAUCUUGCAGUGUGGGGCCAAAACUGAACAGCACUUCCUAGGCCUCCCCAGUGUCAAAGUAACUACUUCCUGUAUUAUCCAUGACAUUCCUGUUAAUGCAUUCUGGAAUCAGAUUUGCAUUUUGGCAACAGCAUUACAUGGCUGAUUCCUAUGUAAAUUGUGACCCACUACCCUAGUCUUUAUUUGAUUUCUUCCUCCUCAGCGUAGUACUUAAAAUUCAUCCUGUUGAUUUCAGGCCAUUCUGAAUUCUUAUCUGGCCUUCCAAAGUGCUGCUGUCCCUUCCUAGUUUGGUGUUGUCUAUACAGGCAGUCCUAGACUUACAACGUUUCGCACUUGCAAACUGACAUCAUUUCAACUUUAUGAUGUCAGUUUCAACUUUACAAUGCUUGAUCCAAUGCAAUGCCACGUUGGCAAACAGGUUUGCUGUGUUGCUCAUCUCUCUGGAGAACAUCUGUCCAAACUUCCUCGGACACUUUCUUUAAGAAAGCAGACAAAAACUCCAGAAAAGCCUGCAGCCAAGACUCCUGAGAAGACUCCAGCCAUGAACCC